UCGUUAUUCGGCUUUACGUCAAGUAGCUCCGCCCACACUAUAAUGUCAUUAGAUUGAAGUGUCUGUUGUAUAUUAACCAUCAAGCAUGCCUUUGCAGAGACAAACUUUGAAAGAUUAUAAGAUAUUAUUCAUCAAAUCCCUCAAGGUCCACAAAAUCAAAAUAAGCAUACCGUCUGGUGGAACAUCACAGAAAAUACAAGAAAGCCCUGGAAGAAUUCUGCCAAUUAUACUGACAUAUUACUCCAAAGAAUAUAGAAUACCCAAGACCUGCCACUCGUAUAGUUUUGAAUGGAGAGAAAUGCAACGCUCAUUCAAUAUGGCCGCUCUAUCACAGGAAGCCUCACCUUUGAAAUAUAAGAGCCAAUUGCUAAUUGGUAAAGUCAGUGUGUCACUGCAAAUGGCAUUAAAAGUCCCUAUUGAGUGCUAUAGAAACAGUCAGUGUUCUGAGAUGUGGGCUUAGGACUGUGCAUGCACACUGGCUGGUCUGUGUUCACAGCAUGAAAAAUACGCUUUUAACGCUAUUUGAGCAGAAGAAACAACAUUUAUGAGACAGUUGUUGUCAGAUUUGGUGAUUGCAAAUAUGAAAUUUAAUCAUAAGCUUGGUAAACAGUUUUGGAGAAUUUGAUGUUCCCCCAUUCAAAAAGAUAGGAGCUGCACUUGCAUGCCUGAGAGGUGUUUCAAAGAUGGCUGCAGAGUGAAAUCACUUGCCUUAAAGGGUCAUUGACUACUCUUACUAUUUCUUUACAUUUAGCAGAAAUACCAAAAAUACUAUGGUAGUAUGCUAUUCCAAAUUCAGUCACCGAUUUUGAGCAUCACUCCAGAAGCCCUGCAUUUUAAAAAUUGUGGUCUAAUUUAAAACAGUCCAGAAUGUUCGUUUCAAGACCACUUUUCCAUUCAGUUUCCAUUCAGAUUUGCAUGUAAGAAUGUUUUAUGUAAACCAUUUUUAAACACUUUAAAAGUUAAAAAUAGCUAGAUAUCUUUUAAAUGUUUUCUGAUUCAAUCAUGUGUUUAAUCAAAAUGCCUUUGGAUUAAAUGAAUGUCAAACAAAUGAACGACAAACAAAUAGUAGGUUAUGCCAUUUUUGUCAUAGGC
ensembl:lncRNA